GCCCCUUACACACCAUUUCUCACUGAAUUGAUGUACCAGAAUCUAAAGAUGCUGAUUGACCCCGUUUCCGUCCAGGACAAGGACACACUCAGCAUCCAUUACCUCAUGCUGCCUUGUGUUCGAGAGGAACCGAUUGACAAGAAAACUGAGAAUGCAGUGUCUAGGAUGCAGUCUGCCGUUGAACUUGGGUGAGUGAUUCAGGACUGAAAAACUAUUCCAAUAAAGGUUUGAUGUUUUAUUUAGAUUUUAUAAGGCAUGCAGACCUAAAUAAUUGUCUUGGGUAAGCUUAAUAAAUAGAGUCUCCAACAGUAGAAGAAUUUAUUUUUCUUUUCUGCAGUAAAUGUAUGAAUGAUUUGGCAUUAGUUUAGCCUACUUAGUCUAGACUUUAAGAGUCAGAAAAACAUUUAUUAUUUCAUUUUUCUGGCAUUUAAAGGAAUGGCUACUUAAUGAAAUUUCAUCUUUCCUCCUAGUAUCCUUUGAAAGAAAUUGUGGUUAUCCAUCAAGAUCCUGAUGCUCUGAAUGAUAUCAGGUCCUCGGAGAAGUAUAUCCUUGAGGAAUUGAAUGUUCGUAAAGUUACACUGUAUAUGGAUAAAAACAAGUAUGGCAUUUGGCUACGGGCAGAGCCAGAUCACAUGGUCCUGGGAAAGCGUCUGAAGGGAGCCUUUAAAGCAGUGAUGGUGGCUGUCAAGCAGCUGAACGGUGAAGAGCUGGAGCAGUUCCAGAAGAGUGGGAGCAUUGUUGUGGAAGGCCACGAACUGCAUGAAGAAGACAUCCACCUUAUGUACACCUUUGACCAGACCACAGGUGGGACCGCACAGUUUGAAGCACAUUCGCAUGCUCAGGCUUUGGUUCUCUUAGAUGUCACCCCCGACCAGUCAAUGGUGGAUGAAGGAAAGGCUCGGGAAGUUAUCAAUCGCAUCCAGAAACUUCGCAAGAAGCAUGGGCAGAAGAGCACUAUCGGUGCAGUUGGUUGUCCACUCCUGGUCCUGCUUGUGCAUAUGUCAAUCUUCACAUCUGUGCAAAUGGUAGGGAACAAGGUAAGAGUAAAGAAAUUCCAUAGCUUGUGUGGCAUGUUUUACACUUCUGGAAGUCUUUCCUUUUACAAAGUAUGAUAAAACUGGAUGACUUUUUUUUAAUUGUCAUCAAAAUGAACCCAUUAAAGUAAAUAAGGGAUGUGCACUUGGGGGAAGAUGGAGUAGACAUGCUUCCUUUUUCUCCACUGAGUAUAUCUCAGUACCCUGUAUAAAUACAAAAAACAAACAAGAAAACUCUGGAAGGUGGAAGGAGAAGAACAGACCAGCUGGGAACCUUGAAACCAAGUUACUUAAUGAUAGUGAGUUCCCUGGACUUUAUUUUUAUGUGUUAUUUGUCCCAAACCUGGAACGUAAGCUACCAAUCUAGAAAUGCCAACAACUACCGAUCAAAUAAAAGCCCCAACAAAAUCCUGCUUUCACUAGACAAAGAAUCAGAAUAUGGACAACCUAGCAAGACAAAUACCUUUUUUUUUUCCCAGUGCUGGUAAUUGAACCCAUGGCCUUGCAUAUGCUAGGCAGGUGCUCUACCACUGAGCUAUGCACAUCUCCAUCUCCAAAAGAGAAAGUAUUAGACGAUAAUUGGUCUACUGUAGACCUACACCAUAGAAAAAGCUGUGGCCCCACCACCACUCACGUGAGCAAAGGCCACACAGAAAGCCCCAGUUCAGCUUUUGCCUGGCUUAGACUCCUCAGGCUCCACCACCGCCAUGAUGAUAUCAGAGGAGAUUGAGUAGGAAGCUAGGAGUUUCAUCCAAAUGGUAAUGAGUCCUUCUCCCUAGUGGUGGCAACAUGGACAGCUUGUACAUCCAUUCCCAUUGGGCAGUAAUAAAGCAUCCUCCCCCUCACGACUACACGGCAGCAGUGAGGCCACAUAGCACUGAGGUGUCAGUGAGGCCCAGAUGGGGAACAGUAAAGAGGCACUACUUUUCCUGGCCAGGGAGCUAUUGGUGGAGGCCUAGAAGAAAGUGAGAAUGCUCUGCCCUGCCACCCACACCAGGACCAAGAAGUCUGGACCUUGUUUUAAAUGCAGGCCAAUAGUGAAUCUGGACUUCCCACCUGAAAGUAACUAGGCAGUAGCUCCCUUUCCUCCACUAAUGUGAAAAGGGAUAAUCAGUAGAUGCAAAUAUGAUGACAGAACUAUUAAAAUUAUCUGACAGAAUUUACAGCAAGCAUGGUACAUGUUUCGGGAAUCAGUAAUAAAACAAAUGAAAAAUGCAAAGCCUCAGAAAAGAAAUAGAAGCUAUAAGGAAGAAUCAGACAUUUUGUAACUAAGGGCUGGGGAUGCCUGGCAAGCGCGAGGUCCUGAGUUCGAUCCCCAGUAUUAAAAACAAAAAAAGUAACUAAAAUUUUGAAAGCUCAGUGGAUGGGCUGAGCAGCAUAAGAGAAGAGAAACGAAAGAACGAGAGCCAGAAGAUAGAAAUUACCCAUUCUGAACAACAGAGAGUUGGAAAUAGGAAUAGCAAGGGCCUAUAGAUCAAAGAACAAAAAGUUAACAUUCUUGCCACUCAAAUAAUGCCAAAAACCUUCCAAAGUCACCAAACCAUAUAACCCUACAGAUUCAGUAAACUGAGUGCUAUGGCCUGAAUGUUUGUUCUCCUGUCUUCACUCCAAAGUCAUAGGACAAAAUUUUUUGAAACCUUUUUUUUUUUGGUACCAGAGAUUGAACUCGGGCCCUUGCGCUUGCUUGCGCAGCAGGCAGCGAAACCACUGAGCUAAAUCCCCAGCCCUAUAUAUUUUUUUAAACUUUUUAAAAAAAUUUUUGUUUGUUUUUUUGGUCUUUUUGGUGCCAGAGAUUGAACUCGGGUCCUUGCGCUUGCAGGGCAGGCAUCAGAACCAGUGAGCUAAAUCCCCAGCUUGUGUAAUAUUUUUAAAUGAUAUUUUCUUUUUUGGUACCAGGGAUCGAACUUGGGUCCUUGCCCUUGCGCAGCAGGCAGCGAAACCACUGAGCUAAAUCCCCAGCCCUAUAAGAGGGAUAGUGUGGGGGUUUGUUGGGAGCAAUGCUACAUAAUUCUAGGGAAAAAUCAUUUGGUUAGCCUAGUUCUCUUGCCUACAGCCCAGCUACAGAAUAACUCCAGUUUGGCUUCCGGUCACAACUGAGACUUCAGUGAUCCAGUGAUGCUGUGAUUCUCCAGGACAAGAAACAUCCUGGGAGAACAAACAUCUGCUCAGUUCCUCGUUGUUCUUGGACUG
rnacentral:lncRNA from 1 species